rnacentral:rRNA from 1 species
GCGGCGUGCUUCAUACAUGCAAGUCGAACGAGAAGCAGGAGCUUGCUCCUGUGGAAAGUGGCGGACGGGUGAGUAACACGUAGGAAAUCUGCCUUUGGGUGGGGGACAACAGUUGGAAACGACUGCUAAUACCCCAUAUGAGCUUGGUUGCAAUACCAAUCUUGAAAACUACGGUGCCUAAAGAUGAGCCUGCGUCUGAUUAGCUUGUUGGCGGGGUAAUGGCCCACCAGGGCGACGAUCAGUAGCUGGUUUGAGAGGAUGAUCAGCCACAAUGGGACUGAGACACGGCCCAUACUCCUACGGGAGGCAGCAGUAGGGAAUUUUGCGCAAUGGGGGAAACCCUGACGCAGCAACGCCGCGUGAAUGACGAAGCCCUUCGAGGUGUAAAGUUCUGUCAGUAGGGAAGAAUUUUGACUGUACCUACAAAGGAAGCACCGGCUAACUCCGUGCCAGCCGCCGCAGUAA